GACGAACGCUGGCGGCGUGCUUAACACAUGCAAGUCGAACGGAAAGGCCCUGCUUUUGUGGGGUGCUCGAGUGGCGAACGGGUGAGUAACACGUGAGUAACCUGCCCUUGACUUUGGGAUAACUUCAGGAAACUGGGGCUAAUACCGGAUAGGAGCUCCUGCUGCAUGGUGGGGGUUGGAAAGUUUCGGCGGUUGGGGAUGGACUCGCGGCUUAUCAGCUUGUUGGUGGGGUAGUGGCUUACCAAGGCUUUGACGGGUAGCCGGCCUGAGAGGGUGACCGGCCACAUUGGGAAGGGGAAAAGGGCCAGACUCCUACGGGAGGCAGGAGGGGGGAAUAUUGGCAAAUGGGCGGAAGCCUGAUGGAGCAACGCCGGGGGGGGGAUGAAGGCCUUCGGGUUGUAAACCGCUUUCGCCUGUGAAGAAGGGGGAGUGAAGGGAAUGGGGAAAGAAGCACCGGCUAAAUACGUG
rnacentral:rRNA from 1 species